GGUUGUUAAUACUUUUCCUCAAGGUAUACAUACACUUGGUGUUGACGUUUGUUUACUUUUAAACCACGAAGUCUGUGGAACUUGUGUAAUAUACCAAAUUCUAGUUCGGAGAUGAAAAUACCCAAACUGGAUAUCUACUAAGAAAAUCAUUUAAGUUCCUUGCCCCAGGUUUCUCCAUUGGAAAAUGUGACUCCUAAUAGCAACAAUCUCAGUUUUAAGAUAACCGAUCAGGUUAGUAUGUCCUCAACUUGUGUCCUGCUGCUUGCUGGCUCAUAAUCAACUUGUGCACAACAUUCCCAUUGUCUUUAUUUAGGUUGUCUCUUGAAAGUUCCACCUGUCCUGUAUUGUGGUGGAAGCCACGGAGGCAAAUGAAGAUGGUGGUGGUCUCCAAUGGUCAAAGGAACUUCAGCUGCUCACUGAUGGCAAGGAAGAAUCUGAGGCCUUCUUCCAGGACCAAGUGUAGAACCAGGUAAGGGAGGUGGCUGUUUCAGUUGGGAUACUGUGAUCUGGAUGUUCUAGAGUGGGCCAAAAUGGAUUCACUGUCUCCUGCAGAUAGCAGGGCCAAGCACAUAUUGGUACUCAAUAAACAUAGAAAGGGGUUUCAGGUGUAGCCAGCGGUAAAGUGCAUGCUUACUUAGCAUGUUUGAUCCUCAGCAUUCCCUUCUUCACAAGGUAUUAAAUGAAUGUGGUAGAGAAAAAUAUAGGAGGG
rnacentral:lncRNA from 1 species